rnacentral:rRNA from 1 species
UACGUAGGUGGCAAGCGUUAUCCGGAUUUACUGGGUGUAAAGGGCGUGUAGGCGGGAGAGCAAGUCAGACGUGAAAUUCCAGGGCUCAACCCUGGAACUGCGUUUGAAACUGUUCUUCUUGAGUGAUGGAGAGGCAGGCGGAAUUCCGUGUGUAGCGGUGAAAUGCGUAGAUAUUAGGAGGAACACCAGUGGCGAAGGCGGCUUACUGGACGGCAACUGACGCUGAGGCUCGAAAGCGUGGGGAGCAAACAGG